rnacentral:rRNA from 1 species
AACGAACGCUGGCGGCGCGCCUAAUACAUGCAAGUCGAGCGAGAAGACGUAGCAAUACGUUUGUAAAGCGGCGAACGGGUGAGUAACACGUGGGGUAAUCUACCUUCGGGUGGGGAAGUAACGUCUCGAAGAGACGCGUAAUACCGCAUAAUGCAGCGGCACCUUAUGGUGGAAUAGUUGUUAAAGCGGGGGAGUCGCAAGACCUCGCGCCUGAAGAGGAGCCUGCGGCAGAUUAGCUAGUUGGUGAGGUAAUGGCUCACC